UACGUAGGGGGCAAGCGUUGUCCGGAAUCAUUGGGCGUAAAGAGCGCGUAGGCGGCCCGAUAAGUCCGCUGUGAAAGUCAAGGGCUUAACCCUUGAAUGCCGGUGGAAACUGUCGGGCUAGAGUCCGGAAGAGGCGAGUGGAAUUCCUGGUGUAGCGGUGAAAUGCGCAGAUAUCAGGAGGAACACCGAUGGCGAAGGCAGCUCGCUGGGACGUAACUGACGCUGAGACGCGAAAGCGUGGGGAGCAAACAGG
rnacentral:rRNA from 1 species